CAGCUGGGCUGAGGCAUCCAGGACAGGACCCUGUGAGGGAUAUUUCAGACUCAAACAGUAAUACAUGCUUAUGGAUUCCAAGAUACUAUUGCUCCAGGUGACUUCCUGUCCAUAGCCAGCUAAAUGAAGACUGAAAAUGGAAUGCUGGGGCAGGGGAGUUCCUGGAGAGAAGAUUCAGCAAUAAAGAGCAUGUCUUCUCGGAGAGGACCCUAGUUCUGUUCCUAGUACCCAUGUAGCAGGCUCAGGGCAGUUUUAUAUUGGCGCUGAUUGUGUAAAAGCCUGCCAAGGUCGACUCCCACCAACACCCCCAGUAUCAUUUUAUCUCCUUUUCAUACAAUAUUAGCACAUUCCUAUUUGGUGAACAGGAAGGCUCAUCUACACAUUAGCUUGUGUACAUCCUGGAAUGGUGAAGAACAUUCAAUGUCAAGUAAGCCUAUGCUCUUUGUUUAGUAUUCUCCAUAGUAUCUCUAAGACUACAUAUGACUGCAGUGAUAGUUUUCACAGGGAUGCCUCCGAUGCAGGGCUCUCUGGCACCAAUCACCACGCCCUGAAAAUUAAAACAAUUUAAAAGAAAACUUUAAGAAA